AGAGUUUGAUCAUGGCUCAGGACGAACGCUGGCGGCGUGCUUAACACAUGCAAGUCGAACGAUGAUGCUCCAGCUUGCUGGGGUGGAUUAGUGGCGAACGGGUGAGUAAUACGUGAGUAACCUGCCCCCUUCUUCGGGAUAAGCCUUGGAAACGGGGUCUAAUACUGGAUAUUCUGCACUGGACGCAUGUUUGGUGUUGGAAAGGGUUUCUGGUGGGGGAUGGGCUCACGGCCUAUCAGCUUGUUGGUGGGGUGAUGGCCUACCAAGGCUUCGACGGGUAGCCGGCCUGAGAGGGUGACCGGCCACAUUGGGACUGAGAUACGGCCCAGACUCCUACGGGAGGCAGCAGUGGGGAAUAUUGCACAAUGGACGCAAGUCUGAUGCAGCGACGCCGCGUGGGGGAUGAAGGCUUUCGGGUUGUAAACUCCUUUUAACACUGAACAAGGCAUUUUUUGUUGAGGGUAGGUGUUGAAUAAGCGCCGGCUAACUACGUGCCAGCAGCCGCGGUAAUACGUAGGGCGCGAGCGUUGUCCGGAAUUAUUGGGCGUAAAGAGCUCGUAGGCGGUUUGUCGCGUCUGCUGUGAAAGACCGGGGCUUAACUCCGGGGCUGCAGUGGGUACGGGCAGACUAGAGUGCGGUAGGGGUAACUGGAAUUCCUGGUGUAGCGGUGGAAUGCGCAGAUAUCACGAGGAACACCGAUGGCGAAGGCAGGUUACUGGGCCGUUACUGA
rnacentral:rRNA from 1 species